CAACCCUGAGGCUCUGACGUCAUGAGCCACUCCAGGCGGGUUCACCUCAUUUAAACGAAACGACUUUGGGAGAGCUUUCGAAUAACUACGUGUAAAAAAAAAAAAUCUAAUAUUUCACCUUAACCGUUGCAUUUAUAUUGAUGUAUGUAUUUUUCAUUCACUCGUUAUGAUUUUUUAAAACAAUUUCUCUAACGACUGUUGUAUGCUAACGGUAGUUAGCAUAUGUUAACUAGCAAGGCUUCGUUCGCCGGUGGACGUGGAAAUGGCGGGUUUUUUCCUCAAAUUCGAAACCAGCUUCAUCGGUCAGCAUCCUGAGCGGCUCUGUGCAGCUCAUAAAUACCAGCAGCAGCUCCAUCAGCAGAAUGAGAGCCUCACCUCAGCUUCUCCCUGCAGACCUGAAACACAGCAGCCGAUCAGGGAUGAGCAAACACAGCAUCAUUCAUUCAUUCUGUGCUUUUGUUCCCUCCAACUACAGUUGGACCUAAAAUCCUUUGUUUGAUGUUUAGUCAUUUAAAUGAAAACUUGUAUAUGUUUGUUUGAUUUGGGUGAUUGAAGUUAGAAUCCAGUUGUUAGCAUCCACUUUGAUGUAAAAGGGAAAAUCUUCAUCACAAAAUCUAAGUUUAAACUGGCUGCAAACAUUUUACUGGAAAUGAAGAUUCAAUUAGGGUUGGGCGAUGUCCCCUAAAUUGGCAGUUGACGAUGUUUGCAGUCAACCAUUUUUAAUUUUUCGUUCUUAUACUAUUGCUAUUCCUUAUUUCACUUUAUUACUUUAUUUAUUUUGUUUCCCAAAUAAUGACUCAUCUGCGAUGAUCCAGUCUAAACUGAGGGAAGUGACUUAAAAAAAAUAUAAAAGAAGUGGUCCGCUCCUGCGUUUGAUUAGAUCGGUGGAGCGCGCGACCGUGUCUCUAGCAGAGCAGACGGACUUACAGUUUUGUGUUUUAGGGGAAGUAAGGAUGCUUUGUUACGUGUGGGAGACUUAGGACUGUGAUCCGUCCCGCAGCUCUACGUGAACGAGCAACCGGAAUUUAGGAGAAGCGGGUCUCCCGGUAAAAGUGUGUGUCGGGGCAGAGCUCGGAGCGCUAGCUAACGCAGUGUGUAAGCUUCGAACCUGAAAGGCCGCUCAGUCCUUAGAAACCGUUCAAACAAUCACGUGGAUUUGUGUUUCCAGUCAUGUCCCGACAAAAUAAAGACUGAUGUUAUUCCCACAUAUUUACGUGCAGCCAGGAUGCAGAUUGCAGCGUUUCACGCAUGGAUUUUAUGUUCAUGCUAAUGUUGUUAGCCCGUGUUAGCAUACUGCUAAUCCUGGCAUCCGGCUCCGUUUUUCAACAGAAAAAGCACUGACCACAUGGAUUAAAAUUAAAAUGAUGAGCGAACAGGCGCUUCAUAAUAACCGUAACAUUAAUAAAAGCACGUUUUGGAGAUCAUCUUGUAUAAUACCGAGCUGACGUAUCUAUGUAUGUAGCCGCUCGGCGCUGUUUAACAUUGUUUUGUAUUGAAUUGUUACAUUCAAUAAAGUUUGGAAAAAAAGCCGCUCGGCGGAAGUUGUAUCCCCUUCCGGUUUUCAUACUGCGCAUGUGCGAAUGAUUUAUUCCGACCGAAAUUGUGACCUUAGUGAACGUUUUUAUAUUCUG
rnacentral:lncRNA from 1 species